AGCUAGUUGGUGGGGUAAAGGCCUACCAAGGCGACGAUCUAUAGCUGGUCUGAGAGGACGAUCAGCCACACUGGGACUGAGACACGGCCCAGACUCCUACGGGAGGCAGCAGUGGGGAAUAUUGGACAAUGGGCGAAAGCCUGAUCCAGCAAUACCGCGUGUGUGAAGAAGGCCUUAGGGUUGUAAAGCACUUUCAAUUGGGAGGAAAACCUACCGGUCAAUACCCGGUAGCUUGACAUUACCUUUAGAAGAAGCACCGGCUAACUCC
rnacentral:rRNA from 1 species